rnacentral:rRNA from 1 species
UCUCUCCGAGACGGAUCCCGAGUAGUGCGGGGCACGUGAAACCCCGUAUGAAUCUGCCAGGACCAUCUGGUAAGGCUAAAUACUCCCUAGCGACCGAUAGUGAAGCAGUACCGUGAGGGAAAGGUGAAAAGGACCCCGGAAGGGGAGUGAAAUAGAACCUGAAACCGUGUGCUUACAAAAAGUCAGAGCCCUAUGAAUGGGUGAUGGCGUGCCUUUUGUAGAAUGAACCGGCGAGUUACGUUCCCGUGCAAGGUUAAGGUGAAAAGCCGGAGCCGCAGCGAAAGCGAGUCUGAAUAGGGCGACUAAGUACGUGGACGUAGACCCGAAACCAGGUGAUCUACCCCUGUCCAGGGUGAAGGUACGGUAACACGUACUGGAGGCCCGAACCCACGCACGUUGAAAAGUGCGGGGAUGAGGUGGGGGUAGCGGAGAAAUUCCAAUCGAACCUGGAGAUAGCUGGUUCUCCCCGAAAUAGCUUUAGGGCUAGCCUCGGAAGUUGAGUCGUGGAGGUAGAGCACUGAUUGGAUGCGGGGCCCGCAAGGGUUACCAAGUUCAGUCAAACUCCGAAUGCCACAGACUUUAUUCCGGGAGUCAGACAGUGAGUGCUAAGAUCCAUUGUCGAAAGGGAAACAGCCCAGACCAUCAGCUAAGGUCCCCAAGUGUGUGUUAAGUGGGAAAGGAUGUGAAGUUGCACAGACAACCAGGAUGUUGGCUUAGAAGCAGCCACCAUUGAAAGAGUGCGUAAUAGCUCACUGGUCGAGUGACUUUGCGCCGAAAAUGUAACGGGGCUAAACACACCACCGAAGCUAUGGCUUGAUACUUUGUAUCAGGGGUAGGGGAGCGUUGAAUGAAGAUUGAAGGUGUACCGCAAGGAGCGCUGGACCUCAUUCAAGUGAGAAUGCCGGUAUGAGUAACGAAAAGAUCAGUGAGAAUCUGAUCCGCCGAAAACCCAAGGAUUCCUGAGGAAGGCUCGUCCUCUCAGGGUAAGUCGGGACCUAAGGCGAGGCCGAAAGGCGUAGUCGACGGACAACAGGUUGAAAUUCCUGUACCACCGAAAGCCGUUAUGAGCAAUGGGAUGACGCAGGAGGAUAGUGACGCGGACUGAUGGAUGUCCGUUCAAGCAGUGAGGCUGAUAUGUAGGCAAAUCCGCAUA